rnacentral:rRNA from 14 species
CGACGACCUCAGAUCAGGCG